rnacentral:rRNA from 1 species
AAGACCUUGCGCUUUUGGAGCGGCCGAUGCCUGAUUAGCUUGUUGGUAAGGUAAAAGCUUACCAAGGCUUCGAUCAGUAGCUGGUCUGAGAGGACGACCAGCCACACUGGGACUGAGACACGGCCCAGACUCCUACGGGAGGCAGCAGUGGGGAAUUUUGGACAAUGGGGGCAACCCUGAUCCAGCCAUGCCGCGUGAGUGAAGAAGGCCUUCGGGUUGUAAAGCUCUUUCAGCCGGAACGAAACGGUUACGGUUAACACCCGUGACUACUGACGGUACCGGAAGAAGAAGCACCGGCUAACUACGUGCCAGCAGCCGCGGUAAUACGUAGGGUACGAGCGUUAAUCGGAAUUACUGGGCGUAAAGCGUGCGCAGGUGGUUUUGUAAGUCAGAUGUGAAAGCCCCGGGCUCAACCUGGGAACU